AUUGAACGCUGGCGGCAUGCCUUACACAUGCAAGUCGAACGGCAGCACGGGUGCUUGCACCUGGUGGCGAGUGGCGAACGGGUGAGUAAUACAUCGGAACGUACCUUAUCGUGGGGGAUAACGCAGCGAAAGCUGCGCUAAUACCGCAUACGCCCUGAGGGGGAAAGCGGGGGACCGUAAGGCCUCGCGCGAUUAGAGCGGCCGAUAUCUGAUUAGCUUGUUGGUGGGGUAAAAGCCCACCAAGGCGACGAUCAGUAGCUGGUCUGAGAGGACGAUCAGCCACGCUGGGACUGAGACACGGCCCAGACUCCUACGGGAGGCAGCAGUGGGGAAUUUUGGACAAUGGGGGCAACCCUGAUCCAGCAAUGCCGCGUGAGUGAAGAAGGCCUUCGGGGUUGUAAAGCUCUUUUGUCAGGGAAGAAACAGCAGCUCUAACACAGUCUGCGAAUGACGGUACCUGAAGAAUAAGCACCGGCUAACUACGUG
rnacentral:rRNA from 1 species